GACGAACGCUGGCGGCGUGCCUAAUACAUGCAAGUAGAACGCUGAAGAGAGGAGCUUGCUCUUCUUGGAUGAGUUGCGAACGGGUGAGUAACGCGUAGGUAACCUGCCUGGUAGCGGGGGAUAACUAUUGGAAACGAUAGCUAAUACCGCAUAAAAUGGAUUAUCGCAUGAUAAUCCAUUGAAAGGUGCAAAUGCAUCACUACCAGAUGGACCUGCGUUGUAUUAGCUAGUUGGUGGGGUAACGGCUCACCAAGGCGACGAUACAUAGCCGACCUGAGAGGGUGAUCGGCCACACUGGGACUGAGACACGGCCCAGACUCCUACGGGAGGCAGCAGUAGGGAAUCUUCGGCAAUGGACGGAAGUCUGACCGAGCAACGCCGCGUGAGUGAAGAAGGUUUUCGGAUCGUAAAGCUCUGUUGUAAGAGAAGAACGAGUGUGAGAGGGAAAGUUCAC
rnacentral:rRNA from 1 species